rnacentral:rRNA from 1 species
GGACUACUAGGGUUUCUAAUCCUGUUUGCUCCCCACGCUUUCGCGCCUCAGCGUCAGUAUCGGUCCAGAGAGCCGCCUUCGCCACUGGUGUUCUUCCCAAUAUCUACGAAUUUCACCUCUACACUGGGAAUUCCACUCUCCUCUCCCGAUCUCUAGCCGUGGAGUCCCAAAUGCAAUUCCCAGGUUGAGCCCGGGGCUUUCACAUCUGACUUCCAAGGCCGCCUGCGCGCCCUUUACGCCCAGUAAUUCCGAACAACGCUUGCCCCCUUCGUAUUACCGCGGCUGCUGGCAC